rnacentral:rRNA from 1 species
AACAGGAUUAGAUACCCUGGUAGUCCACGCCGUAAACGAUGAUAACUAGCUGUCCGGGUUCAUAGAAUUUGGGUGGCGCAGCUAACGCAUUAAGUUAUCCGCCUGGGGAGUACGGUCGCAAGAUUAAAACUCAAAGGAAUUGACGGGGGCCCGCACAAGCGGAGGAACAUGUGGUUUAAUUCGAUGAUACGCGAGGAGCCUUACCCGGGCUUGAAAUGCAUCUGACGAACUUGGAAACAAGUUUUCUAGCAAUAGCAGAUGUGUAGGUGCUGCAUGGUUGUCGUCAGCUCGUGCCGUGAGGUGUCGGCUUAAGUGCCAUAACGAGCGCAACCCUUGUCAUUAGUUACUAACAGGUUAAGCUGAGGACUCUAAUGAUACUGCCAUCGUAAGAUGUGAGGAAGGUGGGGAUGACGUCAAAUCAGCGCGGCCCUUACGUCCGGGGCGACACACGUGUUACAAUGGGGGGUACAGAGGGUCGCUACCUAGUGAUAGGAUGCUAAUCUCUAAAGCCUUUCGUAGUUCGGAUCGGAGUCUGCAACUCGACUCCGUGAAGCUGGAUUCGCUAGUAAUCGCGCAUCAGCCAUGGCGCGGUGAAUACGUUCCCGGGCCUUGUACACACCGCCCGUCAAGCCAUGGGAGUUGGGGGUGCCUAAAGAUUGUGACCGUAAGGAGCGAUUUAGGGCAAAACCAGUGACUGGGGCUAAGUCGUAACAAGGUAACC